UACGGGGGGGGUAAGCGUUGUUCGGAAUUACUGGGCGUAAAGGGCUCGUAGGCGGCCAACUAAGUCAGACGUGAAAUCCCUCAGCUUAACUGGGGAACUGCGUCUGAGACUGAUGGACUUGAGGGCAGGAGAGGAACGCGGAAUUCCAGGUGUAGCGGUGAAAUGCGUAGAUAUCUGGAGGAACACCGGUGGCGAAGGCGGCAUCCUGGACCGGCAUUGACGCUGAGGCGCGAAAGCCAGGGGAGCAAACGGG
rnacentral:rRNA from 1 species